rnacentral:rRNA from 1 species
AUUGAACGCUGGCGGCAUGCCUUACACAUGCAAGUCGAACGGUAACAGGUCUUCGGAUGCUGACGAGUGGCGAACGGGUGAGUAAUACAUCGGAACGUGCCCGAUCGUGGGGGAUAACGAGGCGAAAGCUUUGCUAAUACCGCAUACGAUCUACGGAUGAAAGCGGGGGAUCUUCGGACCUCGCGCGGACGGAGCGGCCGAUGGCAGAUUAGGUAGUUGGUGGUAUAAAAGCUUACCAAGCCGACGAUCUGUAGCUGGUCUGAGAGGAUGAUCAGCCACACUGGGACUGAGACACGGCCCAGACUCCUACGGGAGGCAGCAGUGGGGAAUUUUGGACAAUGGGCGAAAGCCUGAUCCAGCCAUGCCGCGUGCAGGAUGAAGGCCUUCGGGUUGUAAACUGCUUUUGUACGGAACGAAAAGCCUCUUUCUAAUAAAGAGGGGUCAUGACGGUACCGUAAGAAUAAGCACCGGCUAACUACGUG